rnacentral:misc_RNA from 1 species
AGCGAGUUUCGCCUCCAUCACGGCGUUUCCUGAAGUCGUUGCGUCMUACGCACCGAUGGAAAGAUUCGUUGUUGCAUCUCUACUGUCGAGAUUCUAAUGUUGCUUAGAUAUUGUUCAUGUUUUCGUGGGAUUGGUUUACGAGAAUCAAAACCGAUUGGUAUAUGUUCGCAUAUACGAUCGUUUCCUUUCUCGCUAGACACCAACGUCUGCGUA